rnacentral:lncRNA from 1 species
CAAUUAAUUCAGAACCUGAGAGGGCUGGCAUCACUGUUUUUAAAGAUAUCCAGGGGGUUCUAAUGAGCAGCCAAGUUUGGGGACCACUUUAACCACCCUGCCCCCAGCCAACUUCCUGACCACUGAGGAUUUGCCUUUAGGCCUGUCAGGGUGAGGAGCAUAGGCUGUGGUGUUAGUAGUGAUUAUGGAGCUCAUAUUUCAUAAUAGGAUUCUCUGUAACAAAGACCUCACCAGGCAGGCGUGUGUUGUUCCUUUCCUACAGAGGCAGGACGGAAGCUCAGAGAAGAGGGGGCCACGUGCCCAGUCACCCAGCUCCAAAGUUAGCAGAACCAGGACUAAAACCCAAGACUUUGGAGUUCUCAAGCAAACGUUCUGGCCUCUGAGGAUAAGGCCUCUGAGACAAGGAUUAAUUAACCAUCGGGGACUGCGUAAAGACUUCCCCAAAGCUAGAAAGCCUCCAGCUGCCGCUCCCACCAUCCACCUCUCUCCUCUGUGGACCCAAGGCUCACCCUCCCCCGCUGUCUGAUCACACACGCACACGCUGUCACACUCACACCGCUCCUUGCUCCUCCUGUCCCCAAGCUGGAAUGCCUUCCUCCUCCCAUAUCCAUUCUCCAGGAUCCCCCA